UACGGAGGGUGCAAGCGUUCUCCGGAUUCACUGGGCUUAAAGGGUGCGUAGGCGGGCAUUUAAGUCAGUGGUGAAAUACCUGAGCUUAACUUGGGAACUGCCAUUGAUACUAUUUGUCUUGAAUGUCGUGGAGGUUAGCGGAAUAUGUCAUGUAGCGGUGAAAUGCUUAGAUAUGACAUAGAACACCUAUUGCGAAGGCAGCUAACUACGCGAAUAUUGACGCUGAGGCACGAAAGCGUGGGGAUCAAACAGG
rnacentral:rRNA from 1 species